UCACAUCAAUGUUUCUCUCCUCUCCUCUCUCUAAACAUAUCCUUGGGUGAAGAUUAAAAAAAUUUUUUUUCAUUGAGGCACAGUAAGCAAAUUAUAGUUAGACAAGAUUGGAGGGCAUACACAGUUACGAGGGGAUUAUCCUUAUGCAUUAUGUCUUUACUUAUAUUUAACUCUGUUUUAUAAGUAUUUAAUUCUAGAGUAGAGUGCCCCUGCACAAUGUGCUGCAGCUACAGUUCAGGUCAUUUGAGGGACAACAGGAGAAUUCUGCCCCUCAGAUAUCAGGAAAUAUACACCAAAGACAUUCUGAAACCCUGAACCUUUUCCCAUAAAAAAGAGGUUUGUUUGUAAAAUGGGGACUCUAUCCAUAAUAAAUGAACAAUAGGUACUGCCAGUUUAGGCCUAUUCAUGAAUUUGGAUCUACAAAGAGGAAAUUUUUGUUGACAAGGUUAUAUGUAUACAAAUAAUCUUUCUUAUUUAAUUGGUAGAAAUCCUGUGUUUUCUGCAAGGAACUUAAUACUCAUUAAAUAAAACUGUAAAAAUUAUUCUUUCUAUCUGUCCAUUUCUUCUCUUUAUCAUUAAAAGCCUCAUUAAAGGGAUUAUUCUUAUGGUGAUAACACCAGGGACAAGAUGGUUAUGACUCGUAUAUUUGCCAUAGGUUGCAAAAGAAUUUUCAGAAUUGGAGGUUCUUUCAUACCUACAUAGUAUUCUGUUGCACAGAUAUAGAUGAAAUAUUUCAAAAGUUGACCUUAGGUUGCGUUCCCCUUUCACUAUACAAACAAUGCCACAGCAAAUAACCUUGUACAUUCUCUAUUUUACACAUGUGCAUGACUAUAAAUAAUGUAUAGAGGGGACUUGCUGGGUAUGUGCAUUCUAAAUUUUAAUAUAUUACUGUUUUCCUCUGAAGAGAUUUGGUCACUCAUUCAUUCAUUCAGUUAUUCAGUAAACACUGUUGGAGUAUUUACUCUAUGGAAGCUCCCCCAGGACAUUUCAAAAGGGACAGCUUUAAAGGAGAGGGAAGAACAAGAGAGAAGACUGACAGACCAGUUAUGCCAGGGACAGGACCAGGUUUAUGAUUUCAGUUUUCUUAAUGAACAAGGUGGAGCCACCUGAUUAGUGAGGCUGGAGAAGAUCUAGGGGCUGAGCAAUGAAAAGCACUAGAAGGGGUGGCACCAGAAGGCAGGUCUGACAAGUUGUGACUGGUGGGCAAUUAAAGCAAUAGGGUCAGAGAAGGGAAAUGCUGAGUUAAGAGAUCUCAGAAGUUUAGCAAGUCCUGGUGGUGAUAACAUCGAGCAUCUGAACUUUCCAGACCAAGACUGAUGGAGAAGACAAUCCAUAAAACCAAGAAGUUAGGAGUCGAGAUUAAGGAGCCUGGAGGAGCAAUAGCUCAGAUAUUGAAAGAUCCUGGGAACACUGAUGGGGGCAAAGAGAAGAAAAUCAGCCAGAUCCUAAAGUCAUUUGGGAAUUUUCCUAGUUUCUUACUAUCCUGCCACAGAAUCCUAUUGCCAGUGACCCCUGACAACAGGACCAUAUAUUGAAAUCACCUGAGGAAACAGACUCACCCUGAAACACAUAUGUCUUCAAUGAGGUGGUGAACCAAAGAAACAGAAGCACAGAGGACACACGGGUAAUAAAUGGAAGAGCUGAGAUUUGAACUGAGGUCACCUGGCUCCAGAAUUUGUGCACUAAACCUCCUCACUAUUAUGGAUUAUGUCUCUCAGUGAACUAUGUUGGUCCAUUGGAUAUUAACUGUAAAUGUAAUAUGGUCCCAAUUAAAAAAAAAACUAUAUGGGGGGGGGGAGUGGAAUUUAGGUCUCUAACGCUAUCUCUUUAAAACAUUGA